ACCAUUAUGAUUUUUUGUUUUAUGAAACACUUCGUAGAAAGGAGUGGAAGUAAGGAAAACUUCCCCGCCUUUUCUUCUGCCGGGGUGUCUUCCCUCUUUGAUCCUCGAGCAGCGUGCUUGAGAAACCUACUUACGCAAUGUCAAAUCUACUGAAUAUAAUCGUUACUCCGUAAAUGGAAAAAAAUUGAAGAACAAAACCGCCCAAAGGGGCAAAAACACCGCAAAAUAAAUAAAUUGAAGUGGGUUUCCGCUCGUUUGAUCAUCUUGCGAAUUUCACUUUCCAUUUUUGUCUGGUUGUAACUUGUUAUUGGAGUCUUGCAAAUGUUUUGUGGUUCCCGCUGCUAAAUUAUCGAGUCCCACAUUGAUAUAUUUUCAAAUAUACUGCUUCCUUUAAUAAGCCUGGCUUCACAAUAGGGUUGUCUCUUCGGAGACAUCUGAUAAAAUUGGAACGAUACAGAGAAGAUUAGCAUGGCCCCUGCGCAAGGAUGACACGCACAAAUCGAGAAAUGGCUUUAUAUCUUCGGGAAUCCUGUUUGAAGUGAUCAUCUGAUUCAUCCUGCAUCUUAAAUAUUGGGUUUUCUCACAUUGAGAAGUGACAUUUGAGGUUGGAAUGGCCAGAAAAACUGAUUGAGGCUUUAUAUCUUCGGGAAUCCUGUUUGAAGUGAUCAUCUGAUUCAUCCUGCACCUUAAAUAUUGGGUUUUCUCACAUUGAGAAGUGACAUUUGAGGUUGGAAUGGCCAGAAAAACUGAUUGAGGCUUUAUAUCUUCGGGAAUCCUGUUUGAAGUGAUCAUCUGAUUCAUCCUGCAUCUUAAAUAUUGGGUUUUCUCACAUUGAGAAGUGACAUUUGAGGUUGGAAUGGCCAGAAAAACUGAUUGAGCACAACUUGUUCAAUCCUCUGAAGUGUCUGCAUUUAUGCUGCAAUUCUUGACUCUGGUACCUUAUGCCCUUUUGUGCCAUGAUAUACGGAUUGUUGGCCUUUUUUCCUCCCUACCGGACUGCUGGCAGCUGAUUUCUUCACACACCCUAAAUAAAUGGCUAAUAUGAAAGGACUUGUAACGGAAUCUGCCACAGUUAUUCUGAUUUCUUUGUCUGUAAACAGGCCAAAUGGUGAAUCCUUUAAUGCUUGAAAUGCUGAAGUCAUUUGAUGUAUAAGAAGGCAGUAAUUGGAAAAUUUCCGGAUUAGGUGAUCCCACUUUGAAUUGCUGAAGGAUGAGGUAGAAGUUACAAGAAUUGGAGUCUAAGAAAACCAUACCUUCCUCGGCUUUUUGGCUAAGUGCCUAAGAUCGAGUGUAGUAUCUGUUCUUAUUGGUUGCCAUUUUUAAUCAAUGGAAUUUUCUGUGAAGGAUUGCUUUCAUAUAUGAAAAUCUCAUCAUUUCAAGAAACUUCAAAGUAAUAAUUAAACAACAUAAAUAAAAUUAGAAAUUGGUCAUUCUUCCUAGUUCUGCCCAUGUAAAAUGAUGUCUUUUUAGAGGCAAUAUUGCUCCCAAUUUCUGCUUGUCUUGUUUACUUCACAAAACUAGAGUUCAGUUUUCCCAGUACUUCACAACACUUUAUGCAGCUAAUCUUGUUAACUAUAGGAUAUAGGAUAAUGUCAUGUUUAGGCUGAUGAGUUCAUUAAGGUAUUGUGCUGUUGUUUUAUUCUUAGAAAUUUGUUCUUUAAUGUUUAAUUUAAGUAUCUUAGCUUUGAUUUAUGGAAUUAUCCCGUUUGAUGCCUACUUGUUCUAUGUAAUGAAUUAAUGGUAUUUGAAAUCGCUAACUCAAUCUAUUGUCUGAAAACAAUUGAAUUUACAUGGGAUUUGAAAGACUGAAACGAAGUAUGUUGUAUUUACAUUUCAGGCUCGUGAUUCAUUCUUUUACUUUCGCUUGCCCUUUUACAGGGCCAAACAACAACUGUCCAGGUUCUACCCUUAUCAAGACAAUAUCCGUGGAGGUUCAAUGGCCAAACAACAACUGUUCAACCCUUAUCAAGACAAAAUUCGUGGAGGUUAAAUGAGAAUGAGAUAGCAAGCGUUGCCUAUGUGGUGCACUACAUCACCGGCUGGAGCACCCCAUUAAUUCCUAGUUUAAGCAGCAAGGAUUGUGCUUUUGUUCAUUCUAAAUUCCACACAAAGAUAAAAUUAUAGUUGGUUUGAAUUAUAUUAGUACACCACAAAACUAAUUGGUAUCUUGACAUUGUUUAGUAUCAGAAUGACAUCAAUUGUAGUUGCAACGAUUAUCAUAUUGUCCCAUCAAGGAUGACACGAUUAGGACUUCCGGCAAAAUGUUGCUGAAUUUGAUCUGGCAUCAAACAUUUAAAACAUUGGUCUUUCUUCCCGCAAGUUAGGUCAGACAAAUCCUUCAAGCGUUUAUUUAUAGAGGUAAAUUCUUUUACUAAACUUUCCUCCACUUUGAUGAUUUUACUAGUAAGAUCAAUUGCAUUUCAAGCUUGUAAAUACAUCUGAAAUGUAAAUAUAAUGUUUUUUUAAUUAUGCUACCAAGAGAUCUAGCGAAAAUUAACUCAUGCUUGUUAUUAUUAGACCGUAAACCCCAAGUAUUAUUUUACGAAGGAUAUUCUUUUUAUUUUGUUUGAAUGAAUGUGGCUUGUUGGAGGUCUAAUAAUAACAAGCAUGAGGUUAUUUUCUUUUUAUUUUGUCAAAUGCUACACAUGGUUUGUUUAUGUGUGUUUCGGACCAAUGCAAGAAGGUAUUAAUAAAAGUACUUCGUACUCCUCCAUCCCAAAAUAGUCCAUGUACACUUACUGUAAGCCACUGAAUGCAGCGAGUGGAGUAUUACUUAGGGGCCGUUUGGUUGGGGGUAAUAAUCAAAGGGAAAGGGAAUGAGCUGAUAUCAUUCCCUUUGUUGUUGUUUGUUAGCCCUCUUUUGUCAUUCCCUUUACCCAUUUUCAUUUUUGAGUUAACCCCAAAACACUCUACACUCAUUCCCCACCCCCCCAAGAUUUUUCCAUUCCCUUUCCUCUCCUCAUUUCCCCCAACCCCCUCUCUCUCCUCUUAAUCCUGCAUCUUCAACAACAAUUGGAAGCCAUUGGAGUCUUCACCAGGCGACCACCGGCGUAACACACAGGAACUAACCUCCGACCACCAAGCUCCGGCCGCCGUUGAGGUAACGUCACGACAGCCGACGCUACCUGCCCCGCCUCCUCCUGGUUGUCGGAGACUAACGUGUGACGAGUUCCGGUGCCACUAAGGACGCAGAUCAUCGUCUUCGCCCAGGUCCAACCUCUGCUGCUGUAAGUGGAGGUCAAACCGAUGGUGAGACAAUUGGUGGUGAAGUUGAUGAAAAUAUCCAUUUGGUGUGCCUAAAUCUAAGCCAACCAUUCUCACAACAACAUUCAAAAAUAGAAAAUUACAUGUACUACCAGGAAUCAAAUUCUUUUUCUUUUUUUAUAAAAAUUAUAAACUUUUAAAAAAUCAAAACAGACAAGAGUUCUAUUUAAUCUUUGUUUGUUUUAAUCUUUGUUAAGUGGAGGUCUAGACUAAGCUUUGUUUUAAUCUUUGUUUUAAUUUCUGCUGCUGUAAGUGGAGGUUGAACAGUUCUAUUUAAUCUUUGCUUUUGUGCUGAUGGGAUUUAUUUAAACAGUUUUAUUUAAUC